GGGGAGAACUGUUUAGAGGCGAACCAACUGGAUGCCCAUAACUUCUGGUCUCAUCAUGUUCCAGUUCUUGGCUCAGAUGUUGCAUUAAGUUUCGCCGGGCUCCACCAGGACGACUAGGUUCUAGCUUUAUGCGCUUGCCAGCUAUGUCACUCCUAUUCAACGCUCGAAGGGCGGCCUCUGCUGCCCUCACAUCAUAGUACUCGAUAAACUUAUGGUGCCGUUUGUGU
rnacentral:misc_RNA from 1 species